rnacentral:rRNA from 1 species
UCGUCGUAUGUUAUAUGUGUCAUACGAGACUGCCGGUAAAAAGCCGGAGGAAGGUGAGGAUGAUGUCAAGUCAGCAUGACCUUUAUAUCCAGGGCUACACACACGCUACAAUGGUCUGUACAAUGGGUAGCCAAGCCGCGAGGCGGAGCCAAUCCUGAAAGCAGGCCUCAGUUCAGAUUGCAGUCUGCAACUCGACUGCAUGAAGCCGGAGUUGCUAGUAACCGCAGGUCAGCAAUACUGCGGUGAAUACGUUCCCGGGUCUU